rnacentral:rRNA from 1 species
UUUAAAAAAGAUCCUUGUGGGAACCGGGGCGGUUUUUGGGUGACUGCGAAGGGGAGACCGCCUGGGAAUACCAGGUGCUGUAAGCUUUUUC